GGGGGCGUUCCUGGAUUCGACGGGGAUGACAAGGCUCCAGGUGCAUGUCGAGGAUGAAAGAACCUCGUAAAUCCCUUUCAACCUAAUAGUUGCAAACGACGAC
rnacentral:tmRNA from 1 species